rnacentral:rRNA from 1 species
GACGUAGGGCGCGAGCGUUGUCCGGAUUUAUUGGGCGUAAAGAGCUCGUAGGCGGCUUGUUGCGUCGACCGUGAAAACCCGCGGCUUAACUGCGGGCUUGCGGUCGAUACGGGCGGGCUGGAGUUCGGUAGGGGAGACUGGAAUUCCUGGUGUAGCGGUGAAAUGCGCAGAUAUCAGGAGGAACACCGAUGGCGAAGGCAGGUCUCUGGGCCACUACUGACGCUGAGAAGCGAAAGCAUGGGGAGCGAACAGG